UUCGUCGCUUUCUUCGAUUUCUUGACAGACUUCCCUCCCUUUCUUCACGCUCUUCCCUCCUUUUCUUCACGGUGCCUCAUUUUCUCCGUUAGUCACUGGUGGAGGUCCUUCACGGUGCGUGCUGGUGCUGGNUCGUCGUGGGUUNGUUGCUGCNUUCAGGGGUUGUGGUGUCGAGGUUGAGGAACUUCGUUGGAGGGGCUGGUGGUGUCGUUCUCGUGCUCGUCAACGGCUAUCUUGGUUGAGGUUGAUGGUAGAAACAAGAAAAAGGGUGGAUUUCAGGUGGGGAAGAGAAAAGUGAAGGUCAAGUUGACUGCCCUUUGCUAAAGCUAAGGCUGCCCAGGCAAUGGAGCUUGACAACUGAGGUUUUACAUUUGCAGUUUUCUACAAUG